rnacentral:rRNA from 1 species
AUUGAACGCUGGCGGCAGGCCUAACACAUGCAAGUCGAACGAGUGGCGGACGGGUGAGUAAUGUCGGGGAAACUGCCUGAUGGUGGGGGAAAACUACUGGAAACGGUCGCUAAUACCGCAUACCCUCAGAUGUUCCCAGAUGGGAUUAGCUUGUUGGUGGGGUAAUGGCUCACCAAGGCGACGAUCUCUAGCUGGUCUGAGAGGAGGACCAGCCACACUGGAACUGAGACACGAUCCAGACUCCUACGGAAAGCAGCAGUGGGGAAUUGUGGACAAUGCGCGCAAGCCUGAUGCAGCCAUGCCGCGUGUAUGAAGAAGGCCUUAGGGUUGUAAAGUACUUUCAGAGGGGAGGCGUUACCCUCAGAAGAAGCACCGGCUAACUCCAUGCCAGCAGCCGCGGUAAUAC